rnacentral:tRNA from 1 species
GAGGAUAUAGCUCAAGUGGUAGAGUGCAUGCUUAGCAUGCAUGAGGUCCUGGGUUCAAUCCCCAGUCCCUCCU